AGUGAACGCUGGCGGUAGGCCUAACACAUGCAAGUCGAACGGCAGCACAGUAAGAGCUUGCUCUUACGGGUGGCGAGUGGCGGACGGGUGAGGAAUACAUCGGAAUCUACUUUUUCGUGGGGGAUAACGUAGGGAAACUUACGCUAAUACCGCAUACGACCUACGGGUGAAAGCAGGGGAUCUUCGGACCUUGCGCGAUUGAAUGAGCCGAUGUCGGAUUAGCUAGUUGGCGCGGUAAAGGCCCACCAAGGCGACGAUCCGUAGCUGGUCUGAGAGGAUGAUCAGCCACACUGGAACUGAGACACGGUCCAGACUCCUACGGGAGGCAGCAGUGGGGAAUAUUGGACAAUGGGCGCAAGCCUGAUCCAGCCAUACCGCGUGGGUGAAGAAGGCCCUCGGGUUGUAAAGCCCUUUUGUUGGGAAAGAAAGCAGCAGGUUAAUACCCCGCUGUUCUGACGGUACCCAAAGAAUAAGCACCGGCUAACUUCGUG
rnacentral:rRNA from 1 species